GAUGAACGCUGGCGGCGUGCCUAAUACAUGCAAGUCGAGCGAACGGACGAGAAGCUUGCUUUUCUGAUGUUAGCGGCGGACGGGUGAGUAACACGUGGAUAACCUACCUAUAAGACUGGGAUAACUUCGGGAAACCGGAGCUAAUACCGGAUAAUAUUUUGAACCGCAUGGUUCAAAAGUGAAAGACGGUCUUGCUGUCACUUAUAGAUGGAUCCGCGCUGCAUUAGCUAGUUGGUAAGGUAACGGCUUACCAAGGCAACGAUGCAUAGCCGACCUGAGAGGGUGAUCGACCACACUGGGAGUGAGACACGGUCCAGACUCCUACGGGAGGCAGCAGUAGGGAAUCUUACGCAAUGGGCGAAAGCCUGACGGAGCAACGCCGCGUGAGUGAUGAAGGUCUUCGGAUCGGAAAACUCUGUUAUUAGGGAAGAACAUAUGUGUAAGUAACUGUGCACAUAUUGACGGUACCUAAUCAGAAAGCCACGGCUAACUACGUG
rnacentral:rRNA from 1 species